AUCCAGCUGACGAGUCCCAAAUAAAACGAAACGUGCGUCAAACUGGAU
rfam:Schistosoma rodhaini strain Burundi genome assembly, scaffold: SROB_scaffold0001590